rnacentral:rRNA from 1 species
UACGUAGGGGGCGAGCGUUGUCCGGAAUUAUUGGGCGUAAAGGGCGCGUAGGCGGCCUGGCAAGUGGAAGGUGAAAUCCCUCGGCUUAACCGAGGAACUGCCUCCCAAACUGCUUGGCUUGAGACCGGGAGAGGUGAGUGGAAUUCCCAGUGUAGCGGUGAAAUGCGUAGAUAUUGGGAGGAACACCAGUGGCGAAGGCGGCUCACUGGACUGGUACUGACGCUGAUGCGCGAAAGCGUGGGGAGCAAACAGG